AUGGUCUCUGCGGGGAGGAGCGAGGGGACCGCAGGCGGUGGGCGCAGGGCCCGGGGAGCCGCGCGGGGAGGAGGGUCGGGCGGGUCUCAGCCUCUCCUCGCCCCCAGGCUCGCACUCCUUGAGGUAUUUCAGCACCUCCGUGUCCCGGCCCGGCCGCGGGGAGCCCCGCUUCAUCUCCGUGGGCUACGUGGACGACACGCAGUUCGUGCGGUUCGACAGCGACGCCGAGAGUCCGAGAGAGGAGCCGCGGGCGCCGUGGGUGGAACAGGAGGGGCCGGAGUAUUGGGACCGGAACACACGGAUCGCCAAGGCCAACGCACAGACUCACCGAGUGAACCUGCGGAACCUGCGCGGCUACUACAACCAGAGCGAGGCCGGUGAGUGA